GAGGGGAAUCAUGAGUGUGAGGCCAGCCUGAGUCAAUCCUGAGACCAUCUGAAAAAGAAAAAAAAAUCUUCCAGGACUCAGAUGAACUAGGACGAUGUUGUCACCAGCAGACCUGCACCAUGAGACAGAAUUGCUGAGAAAAUAUCCUGAGAGAGGAAGGGUAAUGAGAGCGGCCCAAGAGCAGAGAGAGGCUGUGGGUUUGUGGGAGAAAGACAGAACACCAUACAUCAUUGUGACUGGAUAAUGGUCCCGUCUAACUGAGGAGAUGGCCUGUGGAGGGAACUUCAAAGACAACAUUUCAGGAAUCAUUUCUCGAGUCUGAAGGGACUCUCCACCUCCCGCUCUUUAGUAGCUGGAUAGGUCAGAUUGACAGGACCCAUAGGAGAUCAAAAUCAGGAGGAGGUGGGGGCUUAGAAACGACGACGGCAAAGAUUUAAAAGGCACAAGGAGCUGAUGAAGAGGCAUGAGGCAGAGCACCUUAGAGAAAGUUCAGGCAGGAUGCCCUUCUGGCCUCGUGGAGGCCAGCCAGAGUGUGUCUCAAGAGUCUUCCAUGAGAAGAUUCUAAAGGCACACGUUCUAAACCUACACGGCCCACAUCCUAACAGCCAUGUGAAGACCUUCCUCUUGCAGAGAGGAUUUUCAUUAAAGGUUCCUUAACC
ensembl:lncRNA